GACGAACGCUGGCGGCGUGCCUAAUACAUGCAAGUCGAACGCAGUGGGGACGGGUGAGUAACACGUGGCUAACCUCCCAUCAGAGGGGAUAACACUUGGAAACAGGUGCUAAACCGACACUGAUGGAUGAACCCGCGGUGCAUUAGCAAGCUGGUGCGGUAACUGCUCACCAAGGCCACGAUGCAUAGCCGGCCUGAGAGGGUGAUCGGCCACACUGGAACUGAUACACGGCCCAGACUCCUACGGGAGGCAGCAGUAGGGAAUCUUCGGCAAUGGGCGAAAGUCUGACCGAGAAACGCCGCGUGAGUGAAGAAGGUUUUCGGAGCGUAAAACUCUGUUGUUAGAGAAGCGGUAUCUAACCAGAAAGCCACGGCUAACUACGUGCCAGCAGCCGCGGUAAUAC
rnacentral:rRNA from 1 species